AACGAACGCUGGCGGCAUGCCUAACACAUGCAAGUCGAACGAGACCUUCGGGUCUAGUGGCGCACGGGUGCGUAACGCGUGGGAAUCUGCCCUUGGGUUCGGAAUAACAGUGAGAAAUUACUGCUAAUACCGGAUGAUGUCUUCGGACCAAAGAUUUAUCGCCCAGGGAUGAGCCCGCGCAGGAUUAGCUAGUUGGUGGGGUAAUGGCCUACCAAGGCGACGAUCCUUAGCUGGUCUGAGAGGAUGAUCAGCCACACUGGGACUGAGACACGGCCCAGACUCCUACGGGAGGCAGCAGUGGGGAAUAUUGGACAAUGGGCGCAAGCCUGAUCCAGCAAUGCCGCGUGAGUGAUGAAGGCCUUAGGGUUGUAAAGCUCUUUUACCCGGGAUGAUAAUGACAGUACCGGGAGAAUAAGCGCCGGCUAACUCCGUG
rnacentral:rRNA from 1 species